CGUUGAAACACCGAUUUCCGUACGAUCAACAAAGUUAAGCAACGUCGAGACUGGACAGUUCCUAGUUGGGUGACUGCUUGGGAAUAUCAGGUGCCGUAAG